GUGCCAAUGGCGACUGAGCAUAUCUCGUCACGAGGGCUGCACAGAAGUAAUUGUGCAAAAUAUCUGGGCCUGAUAAUUCAACAAUCUGGUACAAACCGACAGAAAUGAUGGUAUCGCCACCAUAUGAAUUGUUUUGAAGCCAAGACAUGGAAAUUGUGAAUUAAGUCGACAUAAAAUGACAAUUUUAUUUUUGCAUUUUAUGUUUGCAUUUGUUUAACAUUGAACAUUUGACUGCAUAUAAGCGUGAUUGUACUUUAGUAUGCGCGUACCUUCCGAAUUUUCCUACAUCUAUAUAAACACGGGUGGCAAGUGUACACGUACAGUAUGUACAUACAUGCUCGGUGAUAUUAAACGAAAAAAAACUCAUAAAUAUUAUGUAUAUAUAUAUAUAUAUUUUUUUUUCUUUUAAUAACAUACAGCAUAGUCUACUUUCUUUGCAAGUUGUAUUUGAGUUGUGCACAAGAUUAAUAACAUCGUGAUACGUUCCCACGGCUUAUAAUCUAUAACGAUACCAACGAUAGUUUCGAUUAAAAAAUCGUGUUAGUUAAUUAGUUUCCAAGCAAACAUCGGACGAUCGCCAUCCGCUAAAACUUUCUGCUAAUAGUAAAGCAAAAAAUGCACACUAUGGAAUGCGUUU